rnacentral:piRNA from 1 species
UCGCUAUAUUUCUUUAAUGUUCUUCUCUGC